rnacentral:rRNA from 1 species
UACAGAGGGUGCAAGCGUUGCUCGGAAUCACUGGGCGUAAAGCGCACGUAGGCGGAUCUUUAAGUCAGGGGUGAAAUCCCAAGGCUCAACCUUGGAACUGCCUUUGAUACUGGGGAUCUCGAGUCCGGAAGAGGUUGGUGGAACUGCGAGUGUAGAGGUGAAAUUCGUAGAUAUUCGCAAGAACACCAGUGGCGAAGGCGGCCAACUGGUCCGGUACUGACGCUGAGGUGCGAAAGCGUGGGAGCAACAGGG